AUUUCGUCCAAUUUGCAUGUAAACUGUUUUUUUAAAAUGUAUUCUGUGCAAGUUGUUUUCUGAGUCUCCAAGCUAGUCAUUUAUUUGCCUUUGAGCCUGCUUCAUAAUAUCGUUGUUUAAGGAAACCUGAGCUUUUUCUUUACUUCACUAUAGAUCUGAUCAAUGUCCUGUUUUACCUUUUGAAUCUCACACAAUAUAACAGGGUCUUUGAGAUCACUAUGAGAUCAUUUGAAGCUUCCUGAUGUCUAAUGUAAUUUCAUUCGUUUCUGUACUGUAAUCAUUUUCUUGAGUGAUGGUGUAGCUAUGAUCUUCCCUCUAAUAACCACCUUAGCUGCAUCCAACAAUGUAGCAGGGGAUACUUCCCCGUUAUUGUUAUUCUCCAGAUAGAUGUUCAAUUCUGUCUUUAUUGAUUCCUUGAAAGCUGUAUCCUUCAGCAUGCUUGUAUUAAGCCUCAAAGAGUAUUUCUUGGUUUGCUAUCAAUGGCAAGUUAAGUAAACUCCAUUAUGGUCUGAUAAGUCCCUCUGCCUGAUCCUACAAUCCUUAAACCUGUGCCUAUCUGUGCUGUACAUGAAAAGGUAGUCUAGCCUGUAGUAUUCAGUGUGGCAGGUUGAGUAAAAAGUAUAUUCCCUUUCUGACAUAUGGAAGUUGCGCCAUACAUCAAUCGGUCCUAAAUCCUGUAAUAUCCUAUUGAUCUUUUAGCAACCAGACUCCUUUUCCUAUUCUGAUUCCUGCUGUCCAAUUUUUUGUUUAAAAUCAUGUGGAAUAUCCCCUCCACAGAUAAGUGCCAGAGGUUUCUGUGGCAAUUAAAUCAAACACUUUUUUAAAAAUUGUAACAUGAACCUCAAAAAUAAUUAAAAAACAAGAACAAUAAAAAAAGUUAACCAAAAGGGAAACGACUUUACUAUAAGGACUCCCAUGUCAGAGGACUCCUGCCUCUUGGGUUUGAGAGGAUGAGCCUGACCCCUGGAUGGGCCCCUCGCUCAAGUAUCAACAUGUUUGAGGCAUUGACAAAAUGCAAAACACCUGCACAGAAAAUAAUGACGAGUAAUUACAGCAGAGUUACUAUCUUUAACAGUUUUUGGAAUUAAGUGACUGAUUGUGACCACGAGGUAAAACACAGAGUUAAUUUGAAUAGUGUUUAUAAGUAAGUAUUGCUAGAGUCAAUGUGAUCCCGCCCACAGAUUAGCAGUUACAUUUAGAUUUUGCCACCGUUGAUAUUUUCUUCCUCGCGUUCGCCUCAGGUAAGUAAUAUGGUUUUGAAAAUCAUAUUUGGCCUAAGUCAACCAUUUAGACUGGCGUAUCUUAUCUUUUAUCAUUAGCUAGUUCCAAGACAAAUAGUCAUUAUUACCUAGCAGUCGACAAAGGUUUGGAGGGAGGGAGUCACACAUUUUGUGGCAUGUCACAGAUCACAUCAGGCCCCGUUAAUUGUGUCUUAUCUCAACAUCCCAUAUAGAAUUGUAGGUUAAUGAUUUCUUAAAAUAUUAUUUUGGCCUGACAUUUAAAGCAUGCUAAAUAGGGUUAGUGUAUGACUAACAGUCAAAUGUAAAGACACAUAUGCAAUUUGGUUGUAUUAUCCCUGUAGCAUUGUUGAGAACAUAGCAUAAAUGUAUUAAUCUAAUAGGCAGAUUCUGUUAACUCUUCUGCAAACUGCUCCAUGGAUGUUUGUGGUUCGUCAGACUGACACUCUUACCCUGACACAAAGUCCUAACAGAAAAAGGAGAGCAGAGGAAGACGGUGCAGCCAAAGUAAGCCUUUCAUUAUUUGCUAUGAUUGUCUUUUAAUAAUUAAAAACUGUAUUGAUCUUCCUGAGGUUCCAUCUUUGAUCUUGGGUAGGCCUACUCCAGCAGAGUUACUUAGUAUGUGUGCUUUUUCCAGUCCUGCUCUUAUCGACCUAAAUCAUCUUAGAAGAUCCUAAUGUGCAGCUUAGUGAUAUAGCCAGGUGUUGGAGUAGGACUGAAACCAAGUAGCUCUCCAGGAGGAUGGCUGGCUACCACUGAGCUCUUUCUCAAUUUUUCUAUCCUUGGCUCCUUGUGUCCUCUUCUCAUCCUUCUCAAAACCAACUACAGAAGAAUGAAUUAGGAGAGGAACACUGGGUCUCAUUAUCAAAUGGGAUUUUAGGAAGCGAGGAAUCAAUAAACUAUUUUGAUAAAGAACCCUGGUGUACUAGGGUCUGUGUUUGUUGUGUUUUUUGUUAGAUGAUUGAGGACAUUCUCCAGAGCAAAGCUGGAGGGGAAAGGAUCAUGAACGAGUAUGCUCAGACAAAAAGCUUGAAUUACCGCACCAGACGUGAUAUGAUCAAGAUUUUGGUUGCAAAUAUGACAGAGGAUCAUGGGUAAACCAUCACAUAUUUUAUGCAUUAAGAUCAAUGUUUUGCAUUCAUGUAUUAUUGCCAAUCUAGUAAUUAUGUAUAUUUUUGGGUUCAGAACAAGUCCCCCACGACAUGGGAAGGAGGAGGCAUAUUCAACAGGAAUAGUUUCCUUUUUCCCCUAUCUGGCUGACCGCAAAAGCAAGACAGACUGCCCACCAUUAUAAUGCAGAAGACUGGAGUGGCUACUUGGUAUGGCGACUGAAGCACCUGCAAAAGGAGGCUGCAGAGUGAAGAAUACAUUCACUAGCGGGUGGGUCAGCUUGUUGGCAUGCAUAAGUCUUUUAUUUGAGUGUGUAUGGUUUGUGCUCACUCGGGUGUAGGCAUGUGACGGUGUGUUCACAAGGGAGUGAGACUUGUUUUUUACGUGUUUUUCUCACGAUUCAGUGUAAUGGGGUUUGGUUGGACUGUUUUGUGUGUGUUUUGUGUUCCUGUCCUUUUUCAUUUUUUGGUUGAAGGUGGACCAGCUGUAGACAGAGACCCCUUCACGGACGAAGACUGCUGAGUGAAGAAGGGCAGUGCUGAGAGCCAUCGCACUGAUGAAACACACGUCUGAUGAAGCAACCAUAGAGCAAGAUUUUGGAAUGAUGUUUGGUGAUGCAACUUCCACAAAAUUCCUGAAUAAAUGGCCUACUGUCUUCAAACAGAAGGUCAUCCUGCAGAGCCAUGAACUCCCACUAAAAACUGAGGUUCAGGACCUGAUACACAAUGCUGAGUCCGCAGCGGAGGUGGAUAAUGGCAGGGACCAGCAUCCUCUAAUGCCAUCACCGGAAGUCAACAGUCCUAUCUGUUUGCCAUGGGGACCCAGAGAACGAGCAUUCACGCCUACUUCCUUGUGAUUGACAAACAUGCGGUACCUUGUAAGGCAUCUGGCUCACUGGGCUGUUUUAAUGAGCUUUUGAAAGCUUGUGUCUGUCUUUACAGGAAUCUGGAAACAAUAAAUGUUGGGUGUAAAAUAGAUCAGUGUUUUGGGCAAAUUGAAAAUCCUUUCAGUGGACUGAAACCAAAAGGUUGAAAUAUUUCUCAGAGAAGUGGGGAACUGUAGAUCCAGUUGAACAUGUUAUUGGCACAAGAUUUGACAUGUGACACAAUAGAACCACUGAAACAUAUAGUAUGAC
rnacentral:lncRNA from 1 species